GAUGAACGCUAGCGGGAGGCCUAACACAUGCAAGCCGAGCGGUAUUGUUUCUUCGGAAAUGAGAGAGCGGCGUACGGGUGCGUAACACGUGUGCAACCUGCCUUUAUCUGGGGGAUAGCCUUUCGAAAGGAAGAUUAAUACUCCAUAAUAAAUUGAACGGCAUCGUUUAAUAUUGAAAGCUCCGGCGGAUAGAGAUGGGCACGCGCAAGAUUAGCUAGUUGGUGAGGUAACGGCUCACCAAGGCGAUGAUCUUUAGGGGGCCUGAGAGGGUGAUCCCCCACACUGGUACUGAGACACGGACCAGACUCCUACGGGAGGCAGCAGUGAGGAAUAUUGGUCAAUGGGUGCAAGCCUGAACCAGCCAUCCCGCGUGAAGGACGACUGCCCUAUGGGUUGUAAACUUCUUUUGUAUAGGGAUAAACCUACCCUCGUGAGGGUAGCUGAAGGUACUAUACGAAUAAGCACCGGCUAACUCCGUG
rnacentral:rRNA from 1 species